GUGCCAGCCACCGCGGUUAUACGAGAGGCCCAAGUUGAAAGACCCCGGCGUAAAGAGUGGUUAAGCUAGAAUUUAUAUUAAAGCCGAACAUCCUCACGGCUGUUAUACGCACCCGAAGAUAAGAAGCUCAACCACGAAGGUAGCUUUAUAUGUCUGAACCCACGAAAGCUACGGCACAAACUGGGAU
rnacentral:rRNA from 1 species